CAGCAGCCGCGGUAAUACGUAGGUSGCAAGCGUUGUCCGGAAUUAUUGGGCGUAAAGAGCAUGUAGGUGGAUUAUUAAGUCUGACGUGAAAAUGCGGGGCUCAACCCCGUAUGGCGUUGGAUACUGGUAAUCUUGAGUGCAGGAGAGGAAAGGGGAAUUCCCAGUGUAGCGGUGAAAUGCGUAGAUAUUGGGAGGAACACCAGUGGCGAAGGCGCCUUUCUGGACUGUGUCUGACACUGAGAUGCGAAAGCUAGGGUAGCAAACGGGAUUAGAUACCCCGGUAGUCCUAGCCGUAAACGAUGGGUACUAGGUGUAGGAGGUAUCGACCCCCCCUGUGCCGGAGUUAACGCAAUAAGUACCCCGCCUGGGGAGUACGGUCGCAAGGCUAAAACUCAAAAGAAUUGACGGGGGCCGCACAAGCGGUGGAGUAUGUGGUUUAAUUCGACGCAACGCGAAGAACCUUACCGAGGCUUGACAUUGAGUGAAAAUCCUAGAGAUAGGACUUCUCUUUCGAGAGCACGAAAACAGGUGGUGCAUGGUUGUCGUCAGCUCGUGUCGUGAGAUGUUGGGUUAAGUCCCGCAACGAGCGCAACCCCUAUCCUAUGUUACCAGCAAGUUAAGUUGGGGACUCAUGGGAGACUGCCAGGGACAACCUGGAGGAAGGCGGGGAUGACGUCAAAUCAUCAUGCCCCUUAUGCCUCGGGCUACACACGUACUACAAUGGUCGGCAACAGAGGGCAGCGAAACCGCGAGGUGGAGCAAAUCCCAGAAACCCGACCCCAGUUCGGAUUGCAGGCUGCAACUCGCCUGCAUGAAGUUGGAAUCGCUAGUAAUCGCAGGUCAGCAUACUGCGGUGAAUACGUUCCCGGGCCUUGCACACACCGCCCGUC
rnacentral:rRNA from 1 species